GCCAUCUGUGAUGAUACUAUUCUCACUGUUUCGAGUGUUAAGCCAUGAGAAGAAACUCCUUAUACAUGCACUACCAUCUGAGCUGGC